CACAAUGUACAACCCCUCAUUUCAUUGCUCUCUCUCUCUGUGCAAACAUGCUGAAUUUGUAUAUCUAAUAGUAUGUACAUGUGAUAUUCUGGGUUCUGUGUGUGUGAUAAAUCUGCAAAACUAAAUGUCUAUCAUACUAAAUGCUGCUUAUGUGUGUCCAUGUGAUGUGUCUGUAAUAUAUAUCUGUGUGACAUCUAAGCUAUGGAUAUAGC